UACGUAGGGGGCGAGCGUUGUCCGGAAUUACUGGGCGUAAAGGGUGCGUAGGCGGCACAGCAAGUCAGGUGUGAAAGACCGGGGCUCAACCCCGGGGCUGCACUUGAAACUGCUAUGCUUGAGUGCAGGAGAGGUAAGUGGAAUUCCUAGUGUAGCGGUGAAAUGCGUAGAUAUUAGGAGGAACAUCAGUGGCGAAGGCGACUUACUGGACUGUAACUGACGCUGAGGCACGAAAGCGUGGGGAGCAAACAGGAUUAGAAACCCGUGUAGUCC
rnacentral:rRNA from 1 species